rnacentral:rRNA from 1 species
UACGGAGGGUGCAAGCAUUAAUCGGAAUUAUUGGGCGUAAAGGGCGCGUAGGCGGAAUUGCAAGUCAAGUGUGAAAUAUCGGGGCUCAACCUCGAUGCUGCACUUGAAACUACAAAUCUAGAGGAUAGACGGAGAAAACGGAAUUCCACGUGUAGCGGUGAAAUGCGUGGAUAUGUGGAAGAACACCUGUGGCGAAAGCGGUUUUCUAGUUUAUUCCUGACGCUGAGGCGCGAAAGCAAGGGGAGCAAACAGGAUUAGAUACCCGUGUAGUCC